GACGAACGCUGGCGGCGUGCUUAACACAUGCAAGUCGUGCGGUAACAGGCGUAGCAAUACGUGCUGACGAGCGGCGAACGGGUGCGUAAUACAUGGGAAUCUGCCUUUUAGUGGGGAAUAACCCGGCGAAAGCCGGGCUAAUGCCGCAUAAGAUCUUCGGAUGAAAGCGGGGGAUCGUAAGACCUCGCGCUGAUAGAUGAGCCCAUGCCGGAUUAGCUAGNGGUGAGGUAACGGCUCACCAAGGCGACGAUCCGUAGCUGGUCUGAGAGGACGGCCAGCCACACUGGGACUGAGACACGGCCCAGACUCCUACGGGAGGCAGCAGUGGGGAAUAUUGGACAAUGGGCGAAAGCCUGAUCCAGCGACGCCGCGUGUGUGAAGAAGGCC
rnacentral:rRNA from 1 species